ACCAGACUCCUACGGGAGGCAGCAGUGGGGGAUAUUGCACAAUGGGGGGAACCCUGAUGCAGCGACGCCGCGUGGGUGAAGAAGCGCCUCGGCGCGUAAAGCCCUGUCAGCAGGGAAGAAAAUGACGGUACCUGAAGAAGAAGCCCCGGCUAACUACGUGCCAGCAGCCGCGGUAAUACGUAGGGGGCAAGCGUUAUCCGGAUUUACUGGGUGUAAAGGGGGCGCAGACGGCGAUGCAAGCCAGGAGUGAAAGCCCGGGGCCCAACCCCGGGACUGCUCUUGGAACUGCGUGGCUGGAGUGCAGGAGGGGCAGGCGGAAUUCCUGGUGUAGCGGUGAAAUGCGUAGAUAUCAGGAGGAACACCGGUGGCGAAGGCGGCCUGCUGGACUGCAACUGACGGUGAGGCGCGAAAGCGUGGGGAGCAAACAGGAUUAGAUACCCGUGUA
rnacentral:rRNA from 1 species